CCUACGGGCGGCAGCAGUGAGGAAUAUUGGUCAAUGGACGAGAGUCUGAACCAGCCAAGUAGCGUGAAGGAUGACUGCCCUAUGGGUUGUAAACUUCUUUUAUAAAGGAAUAAAACGAGGCACGUGUGCCUUUUUGCAUGUACUUUAUGAAUAAGGAUCGGCUAACUCCGUGCCAGCAGCCGCGGUAAUACGGAGGAUCCGAGCGUUAUCCGGAUUUAUUGGGUUUAAAGGGAGCGUAGAUGGGUUGUUAGGUCAGUUGUGAAAGUUUGCGGCUCAACCGUAAAAUUGCAAUUGAUACUGGCAGUCGUGAGGACAGUUGAGGUAGGCGGAAUUCGUGGUGUAGCGGUGAAAUGCUUAGAUAUCACGAAGAACCCCGAUUGCGAAGGCAGCUUACUAAACUGUGACUGACAUUGAUGCUCGAAAGUGUGGGUAUCAAACAGGAUUAGAUACCCGAGUAGUC
rnacentral:rRNA from 1 species